GACAGAGGAUGCAAGCGUUAUCCGGAAUGAUUGGGCGUAAAGCGUCUGUAGGUGGCUUUUUAAGUCCGCCGUCAAAUCCCAGGGCUCAACCCUGGACAGGCGGUGGAAACUACCAAGCUGGAGUACGGUAGGGGCAGGAGGGAAUUUCCGGUGGAGCGGUGAAAUGCGUAGAGAUCGGAAAGAACACCAACGGCGAAAGCACUCUGCUGGGCCGUAACUGACGCUGAGGAGCGAAAGCAUGGGGAGCGAACAGG
rnacentral:rRNA from 1 species